rnacentral:misc_RNA from 1 species
GCUAGAUCCACUGUAGACUCAUGAACCCUGUAAUCAAAUAUCACCUUCUUUCCUAGAAAUGCAAGAAACCAAACAAGCAAGUUUAUAAACAAUAAAGGAGAGGGUUCCGUUUCGCUUUUUCCGUUCUUUAUCAAAAUCAAACUAACUCAAUUAACAAUACAACUCGACUCAAAUAAGCCUUUGGGAAGACUCAAAUAAGCCUUUGGGGUCGGAUAAUUCGCUUUUUCCACUCUGAACUAUCUUGGGUUAAACCCUCAUAAAUGUGUAACUAACUCAAUUAACAAUAAACCAAAUAAAUUGAUUUAUGUUCUUGAUUACCCCAGGCGAAUAACUAAGCAGCAAAAGUAGUAAACAACACAAACAUAUUAGCAUCGCAAGUCUUUCUAAUAAAGGAAGAAGAAAAAAUAGCUAAAUCAGGCGUUUUAUUUACAUAGAUGGAUCUGUAACCAGUGAUUUAAAAGUCCAUCAUAAUCUGACAAACAUAAUCAUCAACAAAACAUCAUUCGUGCAUCCUCAUACAGAUUAAGAUGAGUUUAUCUUAACCUAAUGUGAAAU